rnacentral:piRNA from 1 species
GGAGAAGGUACCAUGAGGUUC